CAGUCGCCGCGGUAAUACGAAGGGUGCAAGCGUUACUCGGAAUUACUGGGCGUAAAGCGUGCGUAGGUGGUGGUUUAAGUCCGUUGUGAAAGCCCUGGGCUCAACCUGGGAAUUGCAGUGGAUACUGGGUCACUAGAGUGUGGUAGAGGAUAGUGGAAUUUCCGGUGUAGCAGUGAAAUGCGUAGAGAUCGGAAGGAACACCUGUGGCGAAGGCGACUAUCUGGGCCAACACUGACACUGAGGCACGAAAGCGUGGGGAGCAAACGGGAUUAGAUACCCGAGUAGUCCCUGUCUCUUAUAC
rnacentral:rRNA from 1 species